rnacentral:rRNA from 1 species
AGUGAACGCUGGCGGUAGGCCUAACACAUGCAAGUCGAACGGCAGCACAGUAAGAGCUUGCUCUUACGGGUGGCGAGUGGCGGACGGGUGAGGAAUACAUCGGAAUCUACUUUUUCGUGGGGGAUAACGUAGGGAAACUUACGCUAAUACCGCAUACGACCUACGGGUGAAAGCAGGGGAUCUUCGGACCUUGCGCGAUUGAAUGAGCCGAUGUCGGAUUAGCUAGUUGGCGGGGUAAAGGCCCACCAAGGCGACGAUCCGUAGCUGGUCUGAGAGGGUGAUCGGCCACACUGGAACUGAGACACGGUCCAGACUCCUACGGGAGGCAGCAGUGGGGAAUAUUGGGCAAUGGGCGCAAGCCUGACCCAGCCAUACCGCGUGGGUGAAGAAGGCCUUCGGGUUGUAAAGCCCUUUUGUUGGGAAAGAAAAGCAGCAGGUUAAUACCCCGCUGUUCUGACGGUACCCAAAGAAUAAGCACCGGCUAACUUCGUG